rnacentral:rRNA from 1 species
UACGUAGGGUGCAAGCGUUGUCCGGAAUUAUUGGGCGUAAAGAGCUCGUAGGCGGUUUGUCGCGUCUGCCGUGAAAGUCCGGGGCUCAACUCCGGAUCUGCGGUGGAUACGGGCAGGCUAGAGGUAGGUAGGGGAGAAUGGAAUUCCCGGUGUAGCGGUGAAAUGCGCAGAUAUCGGGAGGAACACCGGUGGCGAAGGCGGUUCUCUGGGCCUUACCUGACGCUGAGGAGCGAAAGCGUGGGGAGCGAACAGG